rnacentral:rRNA from 2 species
UCGAACGAACUCUGGUAUUGAUUGGUGCUUGCAUCAUGAUUUACAUUUGAGUGAGUGGCGAACUGGUGAGUAACACGUGGGAAACCUGCCCAGAAGCGGGGGAUAACACCUGGAAACAGAUGCUAAUACCGCAUAACAACUUGGACCGCAUGGUCCGAGUUUGAAAGAUGGCUUCGGCUAUCACUUUUGGAUGGUCCCGCGGCGUAUUAGCUAGAUGGUGAGGUAACGGCUCACCAUGGCAAUGAUACGUAGCCGACCUGAGAGGGUAAUCGGCCACAUUGGGACUGAGACACGGCCCAAACUCCUACGGGAGGCAGCAGUAGGGAAUCUUCCACAAUGGACGAAAGUCUGAUGGAGCAACGCCGCGUGAGUGAAGAAGGGUUUCGGCUCGUAAAACUCUGUUGUUAAAGAAGAACAUAUCUGAGAGUAACUGUUCAGGUAUUGACGGUAUUUAACCAGAAAGCCACGGCUAACUACGUGCCAGCAGCCGCGGUAAUACGUAGGUGGCAAGCGUUGUCCGGAUUUAUUGGGCGUAAAGCGAGCGCAGGCGGUUUUUUAAGUCUGAUGUGAAAGCCUUCGGCUCAACCGAAGAAGUGCAUCGGAAACUGGGAAACUUGAGUGCAGAAGAGGACAGUGGAACUCCAUGUGUAGCGGUGAAAUGCGUAGAUAUAUGGAAGAACACCAGUGGCGAAGGCGGCUGUCUGGUCUGUAACUGACGCUGAGGCUCGAAAGUAUGGGUAGCAAACAGGAUUAGAUACCCUGGUAGUCCAUACCGUAAACGAUGAAUGCUAAGUGUUGGAGGGUUUCCGCCCUUCAGUGCUGCAGCUAACGCAUUAAGCAUUCCGCCUGGGGAGUACGGCCGCAAGGCUGAAACUCAAAGGAAUUGACGGGGGCCCGCACAAGCGGUGGAGCAUGUGGUUUAAUUCGAAGCUACGCGAAGAACCUUACCAGGUCUUGACAUACUAUGCAAAUCUAAGAGAUUAGACGUUCCCUUCGGGGACAUGGAUACAGGUGGUGCAUGGUUGUCGUCAGCUCGUGUCGUGAGAUGUUGGGUUAAGUCCCGCAACGAGCGCAACCCUUAUUAUCAGUUGCCAGCAUUAAGUUGGGCACUCUGGUGAGACUGCCGGUGACAAACCGGAGGAAGGUGGGGAUGACGUCAAAUCAUCAUGCCCCUUAUGACCUGGGCUACACACGUGCUACAAUGGAUGGUACAACGAGUUGCGAACUCGCGAGAGUAAGCUAAUCUCUUAAAGCCAUUCUCAGUUCGGAUUGUAGGCUGCAACUCGCCUACAUGAAGUCGGAAUCGCUAGUAAUCGCGGAUCAGCAUGCCGCGGUGAAUACGUUCCCGGGCCUUGUACACACCGCCCGUCACACCAUGAGAGUUUGUAACACCCAAAGUCGGUGGG